rnacentral:rRNA from 1 species
AGUGAACGCUGGCGGUAGGCCUAACACAUGCAAGUCGAACGGAAGCACAGUAAGCGCUUGCUCUUACGGGUGGCGAGUGGCGGACGGGUGAGGAAUACAUAGGAAUCUACUUUUUCGUGGGGGAUAACGUAGGGAAACUUACGAUAAUACCGCAUACGUCCUACGGGUGAAAGCAGGGGAUCUUGGGACCUUGCGCGAUUGAAUGAGACGAUGUCGGAUUAGCUAGUUGGCGGGGUAAAGGCCCACCAAGGCGACGAUCCGUAGCUGGUCUGAGAGGAUGAUCAGCCACACUGGAACUGAGACACGGUCCAGACUCCUACGGGAGGCAGCAGUGGGGAAUAUUGGACAAUGGGCGCAAGCCUGAUCCAGCCAUGCCGCGUGGGUGAAGAAGGCCUUCGGGUUGUAAAGCCCUUUUGUUGGGAAAGAAAAGCAGCAGGUUAAUACCCCGCUGUUCUGACGGUACCCAAAGAAUAAGCACCGGCUAACUUCGUG